UGGGGAAUUUUGCACAAUGGGGGAAACCCUGAUGCAGCGACGCCGCGUGAUUUAGAAGGCCUUCGGGUUGUAAAAAUCUUUUGUAUGGGAAGAAAAUGACAGUACCAUACGAAUAAGGACUGGCUAAUUACGUGCCAGCAGCCGCGGUAAUACGUAAGGUCCGAGCGUUGUCCGGAAUCAUUGGGCGUAAAGGGUACGUAGGCGGGUAAGCAAGUUAGAAGUGAAAUCCUGUAGCUCAACUACAGUAAGCUUUUAAAACUGCUCAUCUUGAGAUAUGGAAGGGAAAGUGGAAUUCCUAGUGUAGCGGUGAAAUGCGCAGAUAUUAGGAGGAAUACCGGUGGCGAAGGCGACUUUCUGGCCAUAAUCUGACGCUGAGGUACGAAAGCGUGGGUAGCAAACAGG
rnacentral:rRNA from 1 species